CCUACGGGGUGCUGCAGUGGGGAAUAUUGGACAAUGGGCGAAAGCCUGAUCCAGCCAUGCCGCGUGUGUGAAGAAGGCCUUCGGGUUGUAAAGCACUUUCAGUGGGGAAGAAAGCCUUGGGGCUAAUACCCUCGAGGAAGGACAUCACCCACAGAAGAAGCACCGGCUAACUCCGUGCCAGCAGCCGCGGUAAUACGGAGGGUGCGAGCGUUAAUCGGAAUUACUGGGCGUAAAGCGCGCGUAGGCGGUCUGAUAAGCCGGUUGUGAAAGCCCCCGGGCUCAACCUGGGAACGGCAUCCGGAACGGCCAGGUUGGGGUCAGGGGAGGGAAGGUAGAAUCCCGGUUGAGCGGGGGAAAUCGGUGGGGUCCGGAGGGAUACCAGGGGCGAAGGCCGGCUUCCGGACCUGCACUUGCGGCUGGGUGGCGAAGCGGUGGGUGGAAACAGGAUUAGAUACCCGAGUAGUC
rnacentral:rRNA from 1 species